rnacentral:lncRNA from 1 species
CUCUGACAAUAGGAAGAGUGAUUGACAGAGACCGGAGGUUCUCAUGCAAGUCAUCGAUUGCCUUAAGCAAGGGCUGGAGGUAACUAUCCUUGUUGAUAACCACACCAAGCUUCCUCAGGCAUACAGGAAAUCCUCUUUUCAGAUCUUUCUUAUGACGCGGCAUGACACCAAGCAAUACCUCCAUGCCUUCCAUUUUCCCAAUCUUUUCAGGAAGCUCGACACUUGGUAGAGUUGGGUCGUCAAUGCAACCAGCCAGCAGCCGCUUCAGCUUUAGGAGCCGGAGGUAUCUCGUUGCAGUCUUGUGCACAUUGUUGUGGCGGAUAUCCAGUACUUCCAGCUCGUGGAGGCGGUUGAUUUCUCCUGGCAGCUGCGUAACAUUUGUGCUCCUUAGGUUCAGGUACUUGAGCAGUAGCAGGUUGCAGCAGACGUCCUUGAGGUAACUCGUGUUCUUCGUACCAACACACUUGCAG